AAUGCCUCGUCAUCCAAUUAGUGACGCGCAUGAAUGGAUUAACGAGAUUCCCACUGUCCCUAUCUACUGUCUAGCGAAACCACAGCCAAGGGAACGGGCUUGGAAAAAUCAGCGGGGAAAGAAGACCCUGUUGAGCUUGACUCUAGUUUGACUUUGUGAAGAGACAUGGGAGGUGUAGCAUAAGUGGGAGACUUUGUCGCCAGUGAAAUACCACUACUCCCAUCGUUUCUUUACUUACUCGAUGAAGUGGAGUGCGACCCUUAUCAGGGUCACCCUACUUGCUCAAAGUGAUGGGGUGUCCAUUGGGCAUCCUACACGAUCCAAUUCGAGGACAUUGUCAGGCGGGGAGUUUGACUGGGGCGGUACAUCUGUCAAAUACUAACGCAGGUGUCCUAAGGUUAGCUCCGUCAGGACAGAAACCUGGCUUAGAGCAAAAGGGCAAAAGCUAGCUUGAUCUAUGACGUUCAGUAAACGUAUAG
rnacentral:rRNA from 1 species